AGUGAUCCAAGUCCCUGUUGGAGUCAGUCAGAGCAUUUCCAUAGAGAGCCACUUUGCAUCAGCAGCACCAUGCUCCAGUGCUCUGGGAGAGUUUAUAGUCCUGAGAGUUGAAGACUGGAUGACUGACAGCUGUCCUUCAUGACAACAGAAGACACAGAAAUCCUCCUCAUCAGAAACAUGACUUUGGUCUCCGUCCUCAUCUGGACUCUCCUCUGCUGCUGCUUCACAGAGUCCAGAGGACAGGUCACAGUGACUCAGUCUGGAGCAGUGAGCUCUGCUCUGGGAGCCUCCGUCACCAUCAGCUGUAGGACCAGUCGUGCUGUAUAUUAUGAUGGUUCUGACCACAUAUUAGCCUGGUAUCAGCAGAAAGAAGGAGAAACUCCUAAACUACUGAUUUACUGGGCAAAUCGUAGAGCAUCAGGGAUUCCAGGUCGUUUUACAGGCAGUGGAUCAUACAGUGACUUCACUCUGACCAUCAGUGGAGUCCAGGCUGAAGAUGCAGCAGUUUACUACUGUCAGAGUUAUCAUGAAAUCAACAGUCAGCGUGUGUUCACACAGUGAAAAAGCGUCAUACA